UUCCUGGUGGUCCAGUGGCUAAGACUCCAAGCUCCCAGUGCAGGGGGCCCAGGUUCGAUUCCUGGUCAGGGAA
rfam:TPA: Bos taurus chromosome 29, whole genome shotgun sequence.